rnacentral:rRNA from 1 species
UACGUAGGGGGCAAGCGUUGUCCGGAAUCAUUGGGCGUAAAGAGCGUGUAGGCGGCCCGGUAAGUCCGCUGUGAAAGUCCAGGGCUCAACCCUGGGAUGCCGGUGGAUACUGUCGGGCUCGAGUCCGGAAGAGGAGUGUGGAAUUCCUGGUGUAGCGGUGAAAUGCGCAGAUAUCAGGAGGAACACCGGUGGCGAAGGCGGGUCUCCGUGGACCAGUUCCGUGACACUGAGGCACGAAGGCCAGGGGAGGCAAACAGG